GCCAGACUCCUACGGGAGGCAGCAGUGGGGAAUAUUGCACAAUGGGGGGAACCCUGAUGCAGCGACGCCGCGUGAGUGAAGAAGUAUUUCGGUAUGUAAAGCUCUAUCAGCAGGGAAGAAAAUGACGGUACCUGACUAAGAAGCCCCGGCUAACUACGUGCCAGCAGCCGCGGUACUACGUAGGGGGCAAGCGUUAUCCGGAUUUACUGGGUGUAAAGGGAGCGUAGACGGCAGAGCAAGUCUGAAGUGAAAGCCCGCGGCCCAACUGCGGGACUGCUUUGGAAACUGCCGGGCUAGAGUGCUGGAGAGGUAAGCGGAAUUCCUAGGGUAGCGGUGAAAUGCGUAGAUAUUAGGAGGAACACCAGUGGCGAAGGCGGCUUACUGGACAGUAACUGACGUUGAGGCUCGAAAGCGUGGGGAGCAAACAG
rnacentral:rRNA from 1 species